CAGUAGCUAGUUAACGUUAGCUACAUGACUUUCUUUAGAGAAGGUUCAAUCUUUGACUUCUCUAGCUACUUGGCUAGACUUGAUCGCAUUGUUUGUAAUAACAUUAUUUAGGGGCAGUUAGUUAUUUAAGACCUCGUUAACCUAUUCAUUUUGACCCAUUAUCUGGCAGUUUGAAUAAAACUAGCAAAUUAUCUCUGGUGACAGUCAGCUAGCUAGCUAAGCUAAAGUUAGCAAGCAACCGCGGUAGGAAAGGCAAAGAAGGGUGAAAUGACGAGCGUGGACGUGAUUUAUGAAAAGAUUCACUUCAGGCACGAUCCGAAAUGGUCUGUUCAGUGUUCGCAUGGGUCACCCGGACCAGGGCGGCUUGAUGAUCUGCGUCGCUUGUGUCAUUGAGAUGAUGGAAAGCAACAACGUUGCGUCUGUGAGAAAGUCUGUGGCGCUGUCAGGGAUCAGUGGGGUCUUGAAGAGCUGUCCUGGGGCUCUGAAGGAGCUUCUACUGCAGGACCACAGGGUCUGUCAGCAUUUCACAGCAUCUUUACUGGG